rnacentral:sRNA from 1 species
ACUCAUAUUUACAGAUUAUAGAAGCUAAAAAUAAAAUAAAAACAGAUGGUUUAAAAAAUUUUAGUCCACAAAAUCGUAAUACUAUGUAUGAGGGACUCAUGACGCAUACGAAUGAGUGUUGUUCUUUGUUUUCCUUUCUCAAGAUAUCGUGAGAAACAAAGGUAUGAGACUAAUCC